AUUGAAUUUGUUGUAAAUAUAAUUGAAGAUUUCGUUAAUGGAUACAAACAGAGAUUAAGAAUCAGCCAAGUAUCUUAGUUAAUAAUCUGUACAGUGAAUAUAUGUUAAGAUGGCUAUAAGAAAAUACCCAAGUGAUUUAACCUCUUAAUUUAUGGAAAUAGAGAAGUGAAAAGCAAAAAUAGUCUUUAUUAUCUAUUCGAGAUUCACUUUCAACGCUCUGUCGUGGUAUCAGUUUUACUUAAUUAUUCGAAUGUUCCAAUGGUGUCAUCUCCAUCUACAUAACUGUGCUUCUUGACGCGGUACGAAUCAAUUUGUAAAUUUCGUGUAAAUUCUGUUGAGGUUUUAUCUCGGAAUAGAAAGAGGCAAUGAAUGAAUGAAUGUAUAAUAGAAAUAUAUUUAAGUAAGUUUAAGAAUAUGUUAUUAAAUAGGUUUUGGAGUUUGAUAUUUGUUGAUUCACACACAUUUAGUUGUUACGUUCUGUAUUUCACCACCAUAUACAGCCAUACGAACACACCAGAUACACUCAGAUGUUUAACACGUGGCCGACGCCAAAGACAAAGGAGCGUCGUUAGAAGUCGUACCAACUUAGCAUGCCCGUCUUUUACAACGAUGCAUCUUUAUACAAACAUGAAACCUAAUCUGUCGAACGUUGUGAUAUUUAUUUUGAUAGAACAAAAUGGAUCAUAGACGACUUAAUACCAUGUGUAUGCUAGUCCAGAACCGCACGCUAGCAGCGUUACUUUACAAAAGAGCUCCAAAGCCAUGGGCCUAUGGGUAUUUAUAUGUCGGAGAUGAAAGAACAUCGAGGCUUUUCCUUUGGAAUUUUU